rnacentral:rRNA from 1 species
GUGGGGAAUAUUGCACAAUGGGCGGAAGCCUGAUGCAGCGACGCCGCGUGAGGGAUGACGGCCUUCGGGUUGUAAACCUCUUUCAGCAGGGACGAAGCGUAAGUGACGGUACCUGCAGAAGAAGCGCCGGCCAACUACGUGCCAGCAGCCGCGGUAAGACGUAGGGCGCGAGCGUUGUCCGGAUUUAUUGGGCGUAAAGAGCUCGUAGGCGGCUUGUCGCGUCGUUCGUGAAAACCUGCAGCUCAACUGCAGGCUUGCGGUCGAUACGGGCAGGCUAGAGUUCGGUAGGGGAGACUGGAAUUCCUGGUGUAGCGGUGAAAUGCGCAGAUAUCAGGAGGAACACCGGUGGCGAAGGCGGGUCUCUGGGCCGAUACUGACGCUGAGGAGCGAAAGCGUGGGGAGCGAACAGGAUUAGAUACCCGAGUAGUCC